UGCAAAUAUCCCGUUUGUCUUGAACACUGGGCUCACUGAUUUUAGCAAGAUCGGUGUGGAUCUCGCCAGCAGCAGUUUUUAUUGCUGUGUCAUUCUAAUGUUAAAGGAGGAAUAUUUCAAAGCUCAUUUGAAGGAAGUUCAGAGGCUGCGCAGCUGUGGGGUUGGCUCACGGCCUCAAGUCAGGUCCUCAAGUGCCAAUACACCGUUCUUCUCUGCUGUUCUCAAUGUGUCCAUCUCUGUCCUCAGAUUCCCCUUCCAUGGUGGCCACAGUCACACACACGGACAUCGUCCAACUUAGGAAGAUGGCAUCUUCCUCCCCGUGUCUCUUAACCAGAAAGCAAAGAAUUUCCCAGAACCACUUCCACUCUCUGCAAACUUCCCUCACAUCCUGUUCAGAAGGAUCUGGGUCACCAGCCUGCGACCAAGUUGCAAAGAAGGGUUAUGAAGUGAACUACCUCCAUCCUGGCCAGUGCCCCCAGAUCCUACUCUUCCAUGAGGUAGAAAGGAACCAUCCUUUUCUGACUUUUGUGGAAGAAAUACUUUCAGACGAGAGCGACAAGAAGCUCAACCACGGUGGCAAGUACAAACACGAAUCUACUUUUUCUCCAUAUUAGAAACCCGGAGGUAGGCACCUCUGCUAUUGAUUCUGAAGCCCAACGUUGUUGAGGCAAAUAGUUCUGAUAUUCUCUUGACUUUUCUCCAAUUAACAAUCAAGACAAGGAUGAGGGAGACAAGCGUGUCAGUGUCAGGAGAGUGAAGCGUUCUCAGGAGCCCCACCGACCUGCAUUUACACUCAAGUCACACGGCCACUUCUGUCUGCGAAGUGGAUGACAAAUGGGGGUUUGGGAGCGAGGAGUGAGUCAGCAGUGGACAGCGUCAGCCUGGCAGCCCCUGGUACAGAGUAGGAAGAAUCUCAGUAGUUCUUUGUAAAAGUCUGUUGACUGCAUACAGCAGGUGUUUAUCCACAGGUAUUCAGGGCUCCUCCAUCCACAGGGUAAAGUACCUGUGUCCUGCUGAGCUCAAGCAUUUGAAUUUUCUAUCGUCCCUGAAGUAGGCGUAGAAGUGGCAGUAAGAGCCAGGCUCUUCCUUCUGUGAACACGCCAGUCUGUCAGGCCAGGCUGUGCAUCAGCUCGACCCUGUGGUGACCUCCGAGACCGUCCAGUGUAUCCAUUAUGAGCGCAUGACGUGAGCACGGAUUAACGUUUGUUAUUUAAGUUGUUUGUUACUGUAGCCCGACUUACCCUAUUCUGACUAACACAGUGCCUGUACCAGGUUACAGAGAAGUCCGUAACAAAUUCUGUGCCUUAAAACUUUGCUGAUAUUUGCUGAUCACAUUAAUAAGAAGAACAUGCCUAAAUGAUAAGGUAAAUGAUAGCCACUAGAAAUUUAAACAGCCAAAAAUAACUCUCUUAUCCAAACAGAAAUCGGUACUAAUAGAGGAGUCUAUUUAAACAUCGAAGAGAAUGGGCUACUGUAUAAAAUACAUGUAGGGGUGUCAUUAAAGUUAUUCUUAGCAAAAUCCAUGCUGUAAAGCUGUUAUUACUAAAAUAAACAUGCUUAACUGUUUAAAGGUUGAAAAUAAUUGAACUUAGUAGAAAAUGAACAGCAAAGUAAACAAAGUCAGAGGAAGCAAUUCAUACGGUUAAGAGCGUACAUUAAUCAUGAAGCAAAAAGUCAAUGAGACUGGUGAUACAUGAAGACUCAGAACUUUAAAUCAAUAAAAUAGGUAAGUCUGGAAAGUUGACUUCCUCUAAAACAGGAGAAAACAUUCCAUGUAAGUUAUGAGGAAAGGACAGGGUACAACAGUACAUCUGUGUGGUUUGAUGCAGCUGUCAAAAUGUAAAAUACACACACCUUGAAAAAUGAUGAGUAUAUAAAUGUUGGACUGAACUGGACGAAGUUCUCCAGUUGAAGACUUGUGAGAAGAUACGACGCUUCGCAAUACUUGUGGGCGACUGGACCUGCUGAGAAGGGAUGAGGUGGACACGCUUCUCCACCAGACUGGAGAAGGGUGCGGCUCAGGCCUUCCGGGCUCAUGGAUGGGCCACGUGACGUGGUCCCCAGUAUUUAUGGACCCGGAACAGGGGAACAGUCCUGAAGUCUCUCUUUCUUGUUCUCAUUCAGGACCCCAGAGCACCCCAAGCUUUGCGGGCGGCCCCAGGAUGCCUGACCCAUUUGCGGAAUUGACUCCUGACUGGUGCUUCAGGGAAAGCACCUUGGCUCAGCUUGCUUUUCCGCAUGCUGCAAAGCAGGGCUCUUUCUGAGCUCAGGGGAAGCUCCCUCUUCUGUCACCAUUUUGCCCCAAAUUUAGAAGAAUUAGCACUUGGGGACGGGAGGCUGAGUCUUACCCUGAGCUCUGGACCUGUCCACAUUUCUUCUUUAAUGCCCUGACUCCUAGAAUGCAAAGUACGAAUGCGUCCAGAUUCCUGAUCUAGAGUAAAUUGGGACUGAUUAGAGUUUAUUGCUAGAAAUAAUGACAUACCAUUCAUUUGUGAAUAUUCAUGUGUAUUCAUUUUACACAUUCUCUCAAAAAUAUUUCUUUGUCCAUCUACUUAUUGCUGGGCAUCGUACUGGCCUCGGGAGACUCCGUAGUGUGCCGGUUAAUCUUAACUGGUGACUGGACCAAGAGACUGCUGGAGAGGUGAUUGGAUCUUGGAGGUGCUAUGCUCACUGGUGGAUUAACCCGCUGACGUUCACAGUUGAAUGUGCUGUCGGGAGGAGGUGAGUCGUGGGGUGAACCUUUGGAUGGUGCCUCUCUCUCUGGCAUCUUCCCAGCCUCUACUUCCUGGCCACUGUGAAGUGAGCAGCUGUGUUGCACCAGUGUCUCUUUUCCAUGGUAUUCCUGCCAUGGAGCCAGAUGACCAGUAUAGGAAACCAUUUUUUCUUUUAAAAAAAAUCCUUUCCCUCCUGGAGCUAACAUUUUUCAUUUGUUUGUUUGUUUGUUUGUUUUUUGUGACAGGGUCUCACUAUGUAGUUGAGACUGACCUGGAACAUAGUGAUAUGUAGCCCAGGCUGGUCUCACACUCACGGAGAUCCUCCUGCCUCAGCCUCCUGAGUGCUGGGAUUACAGGCGUGCGCCACCACGCCCAGCAUGGAGCUAACAUUUUUGAAGGGGAGACAAGCAAUAAACAAAGCAAAUGGGUUAAGUAAAAUGUAUAUCAGAUGGUAGCAAGGUCUGUGGAGAAAAGGAGAUGAGAAUGGAGGUUAGGAUAUAUGGGGUUUUAAGCUAAGAAGUUAAAGACCCCACUGACGGGACGUUUGAGUAAAGAAGGAGUGAGGAAGCCAUACAGAUUUCUGGGGGAGAGAGAUGUUGCAGUGCCAGGAAAUGACCAGCUGAAAACGCCCAGAGGAAGCGUGUGAAGAGCACUCAACGGACCAGCAAGUUCAGAGCUGCAGCAGGAGUGAAGGGCAGAGUGGCAGGAGGUGGGGUCGGGGGCGCCACGGGUGGACGGCACUGUGAGACAGAGCCUUGGCUGUUUCCGGAGUGAGCCGUGAGCCAGGGUCCCGAGCAGGGCAGGGGCUGUGUUCCUGUGGCUGCUGUGCGGAGCAGACUCGGGACGCUUGGACACGCGGGGGGCGGGUGUGGAGGUUUCUCCGGUAACCCGGGUGAGGUGAUGAAAGUGCUGGUCCCUGGGGGUGCUGGAGAUCGUGCUGCAGAGGGGGUGCAGAGGUGGAGCGGCAUCUUCAGUGACUCCAACGACAGCUUUUAAUGUCAAGAACCCGUGCUUUCCAUAGGAAACCGCCCAUGACAGCGCGAUCUCUACACCUCGUCUGUCAUCCGCCUCCUGCCUCUCCAAGCCUCUGCAUGAGAUCACCUCUGAAAGCUGAUUCCUGGAACUCAACCAUUCUCCCUCCAGAGGGCUCUGCUUCCCAUGCUUGGGCUGGAAAACAAAAAGAAGGCAAGCAGAAAGUGAGGCAGGGCUCAUUUGAAUUCUGCCUCAGUCCCCUUGCUCUCUUCAGUGACAGCCAAAAAAAUUCCUGUGUUACUUGCUCAAUGAAAAGCAAUAUUUAAUUAGGGCUGAGAGAGUUAGACAAGCAAACAAUUAAACGUUCUAUUACGAUCCGUCGUGAGCCAUUUAAGCUUCAGUUCAAUAAAGAAUCGUUAUAAAGGUCUCAUAGAAGUGAAAAUAUAAACAGAGUAAAUUUGCGUUGCAUUUGCACCGUUGCCUCAGGUCGCAGAAUCUGAAGGCAGCUUGACUGUGUGGAUGAAGUCUCCCAGCCCCAAGGGGCUCAGCUCGGACCUGAGGAAGGCGGAAGGCAGGCACAUCCACCUGCUGGCUGGGGAGGCAGGUGAGGGAGGAGAGGAGCCUGUUGGCUAAGCUGGUUUGGACCAGAGCAACAGGGAUCUUUUCAUCUUAUUUUUAAUGUCUGAGAAGCAACGUGAAUAUUCUGCCUGCAAGGGAGAAGCAGCUUAAAAGAAACUCCUGAGUGUCUUAUGAGAUGCUGGAUUAUAGAAUAAGUAUGUCUAAUAAAGUCCCCCUUGGUCCUGCAGCUUUGAGGAUUUAGAAGGAACUUCAGUCUGUUUGGGGAGGCUUUGCUUCACUGUAACCAGAGAGACAGCCGCAGGGGGUCCCGCAGUCACACGCAGGGCCGUGGGUGAAAGUGCCAUCUUCCCCGAGGCGAGGCCCUGAAGCCGGGACCCCUCCGGGCCUCGGGCACAGACGCAAGCUCAGGCUGCCUCGCCUCACCUCCUCUCAGGGAGCUGUCUCUGCCCCAGGAGUUUCAGUGUCCUGUGGGACACCCAGUGUGUCAUGGGAGC
rnacentral:lncRNA from 1 species